GAUUUUCAGUUAGACCCGAAGUCUUCAAACCAACAGUCGUUAGCUCUACAGAGCAAUUUAAGUAAAAAAGUUAAAAAUUGUGUAUAUUCAAGUGCGAAUAGCAAAUAAGUUUCAAAAUGAGUGAAGUCCGAAGCUUGUUGUCCACCUUCUCUAUUUUGGCAGUACUUUUGGUGUGCCUUUGGCUCUUAUAUGCCAUCUUUUAAGCAGCCUUAGCCCAACAAACAAUUACCAGCAUCGAUUGCAGGCACUUUUCCUGUAAUCGCAUAGUUCAUAAGAUGUCGUGUCUAGUUGAAUAAUUGCUUAAACGAAAAACAACAGCAACAAAAUGAAUGAAGCGAGGAGUUUGUUUACCACCUUCCUUAUCCUGGUCUUCUUGUUGAUUUUACUGUGGGCUUUCUAUGAAGCCGUUUUCUAAAACUUCAGCUGAGCGUCAUUAACAACAAAACAACAGGAACAGCAACAAAAACAACAAUAACAACACAACCACAACAACUAGACAUGAUUUCCAUGUUUUAAAUUUUAUGUACCCUACACAAACACGCAUACAUCCUGUGUUUAGGGUACUUUAUCGUUUGUUUUUAUUUUUUUACCAUCAAUUCAUGGCAAAUAGUUUGGAAACACAUUAAGGAUGUCAUCAUGAAAUCUGGCAACAACAACAUCAUCUUACAUGAUAGAAUUAAUACGCGAAAAAAACAAUUCCAAAUAACAUUAAAUGAACACUAGUUAGCAAAUGGCAAAACCGAAUAGAGUUCGUUUAGUUAGAAAAUGCGAUGACGUCAACGUUUAGGCAGCAGCGGUGUUGCGGAGAGCAAGGGAUUUUUCGCUGCUGAUACAAAGAAAUUUCGGCCUUAUUGCAUCGCGCGAACAGAAUACCAGAAUAAACAAAGUAUCACCAACAUCCCUUUGGCAACGCUCGGUGGUGCGGAUUAGAAAAUUGGCAGAUAUGUAACCGCCUUAAAAUGGAAAAUAUCAGCUGUCAGCAGUCCAACAGUUAAUCAUAAGUAAAGAUUCCAGCGGACGUUCAUGUCAUCGACUUCAAAAAAUUGCGUUUAUUUAAAAGUAAAAAAAGAAAAUAUUUAUGAAAACUAAACAAAAAAAAAAAACUAUAAAAACAUAAAACCAAAAAAAUUUAAAGUAGCUUACACAUGAACAACAACAACCAUGUUUGAAACGUAUUUAUUAUAUAAUUUUUCUUCUUAGUUGUAUAAGGGUAUUUGAUAUAAGCCAUAGUUGUAGCGACUUUAUAAUAUUAUGAAAUAUAAAACAGCAGCAAAAAGGAAUAAAUAAUAAAGAAGGGUAUUUAUGGAACAAAAAAUAUUAAAAUUUAAUUAACUACAGAAAAAAGUAA